rnacentral:rRNA from 1 species
GGCGGCAUGCUUACACAUGCAAGUCGAACGGUAGAGUAGCAAUACUUGAGAGUGGCGAACGGGUGAGUAAUAUAUCGGAACGUGCCCAGUCGUGGGGGAUAACGUAGAGAAAUUUACGCUAAUACCGCAUACGAUCUACGGAUGAAAGCGGGGGAUUCGCAAGAACCUCGCGCGAUUGGAGCGGCUGAUAUCAGAUUAGGUUGUUGGUGAGGUAAAAGCUCACCAAGCCGACGAUCUGUAGCUGGUUUGAGAGAACGACCAGCCACACUGGGACUGAGACACGGCCCAGACUCCUACGGGAGGCAGCAGUGGGGAAUUUUGGACAAUGGGCGAAAGCCUGAUCCAGCAAUGCCGCGUGCAGGAAGAAGGCCUUCGGGUUGUAAACUGCUUUUGUACGGAACGAAACGGUCCGCUUUAAUACAGUGGGCUAAUGACGGUACCGUAAGAAUAAGCACCGGCUAACUACGUGCCAGCAGCCGCGGUAAUACGUAGGGUGCGAGCGUUAAUCGGAAUUACUGGGCGUAAAGCGUGCGCAGGCGGUUAUAUAAGACAAUUGUGAAAUCCCCGGGCUCAACCUGGGAAUUGCAUCUGUGACUGUAUAGCUAGAGUACGGUAGAGGGGGAUGGAAUUCCGCGUGUAGCAGUGAAAUGCGUAGAUAUGCGGAGGGACACCGAUGGCGAAG